rnacentral:lncRNA from 1 species
GUGACAUCAAAAGAUGGGAAAAGGAACCAUAUUUCGGACGUGCAGACUGGCAGUCCCCAUGUUGAAAGGACAAAGACCACCUACAGAACUAAGCCAACAUCAGCAAGAACCUAAUGCAAUUGGCAUCGAAUUUCAAUGUGAAGGUGACGACCUACACGCCAGGAGGAUGAAUUUCAACUAUACCAGCCAGAAUAUAGCAUGAGCUUAAAAGUAUGGCAACUUGGUAUGAACUUUGAACUCUUAUUGACUCCAGAAGUGAUACCUCCUAGCCGUUGAGUUAGCAGCAGUCGUGCUAAACGUGGGCUAGGAGAGGACUGACAGAGUAUCCAUUCUACCACGCUCCAGGUCACCACUAGACAGUCUUCAGAGGACCAGAGAUCCAUGCUGGACAACCUGGCCUCCCAUCUACGACCAACCGAUCGAAGUGCAGCUCAGAGACCUGAGCCCUAGGACCAUGCCUCAGGACUACCUGGCAUGAUGACUCCUUGCUGUCCCCAGUCCACCUGGCCAUGCUGCUGCUCCAGUUUCAACUGUUCUGCCUGCGGCUAUGGAACCCUGACCUGUUCACCGGACGUGCUUGUUGCACCCUCGACAACUACUAUGAUUAUUAUUAUUUGACCAUGCUGGUCAUUUAUGAACAUUUUAACAUUUUGACCAUGUUCUGUUAUAAUAUCCACCCGGCACAGCCAGAAGAGGACUGGCCACCCCUCAUAGCCUGGUUCCUCUCUAGGUUUCUUCCUAGGUUUUUGGCCUUUCUAGGGAGUUUUUCCUAGGGAGUUUUUCCUAGCCACCGUGCUUCUUUCACAUGCAUUGCUUGCUGUUUGGGGUUUUAGGCUGGGUUUCUGUACAGCACUUUGAGAUAUCAGCUGAUGUAUGUAGGGCUAUAUAAAUACAUUUGAUUUGAUUUGAUUUAAGUUUGGGGUUGUUUUUCAGGGUUUUUUUUGUUUGAGGUGCAUUUCGGGGUCUGCACCUUUGGGGGGGGGGGGGGGGUACUGUCACGUCCUUACCAGUAAAAGGGGUUAUUUCUUAUUGUAGUUUGGUCAGGGCGUGGCAGGGGGUGUUUUUCUGUGUGUUUUCGGGUUAUGAUCUAUGUUCUUCUAUUUCUAUGUUUAUUCUAGGGUAUCUAUUUCUAUGUUGGAAUUGUUUGGGGUUGGUCUCUAAUUGGAGGCAGCUGAAUCUCGUUGCCUCUGAUUAGAGACCAUAUUUAAGUAGUUUUUUUUUUCAUUGUGUUUGUGGGUGGUUACAUUUCUGUUUAGUUGUCUAACCUGACAGAACUGUGGGCUGUCGUUUUUGUUUCUUUGUUUAUAGUGUUCUCUGUUUAAUAAAUACAAGAUGAGCACUAACCACGCUGCGCCGUGGUCUACUCCCUUCAACAGCCAUUACACAAGUUCCCUUCAGUGUAAUAUGAUAAGGGGUAAAACCUAAUGAUCCUGGGUGUUGUAAGGCAUAAAAGGUAGAUAGUGGCUCUGACUGAAAUGAAACUGAAAUAUCUGUUGUUUGACACCACUGAGGGAUGAUCUGAAAUGGGAGUAAACAGUGCUAGAUAGACAAGGUUCACCACACUGUAAUAGCAAGCUGGCUAUUCCUUUUGUGUCAAUCUUUAAUAAUAUUGGUUGUUGACUGUUUCUUAAAAAAAAUUAAGUCUAUUUGUUCUGUCAAAUCCAUUAGACUUUCGCUCAUAACGUUCUUUGUUUGAGAAUUGAUCCCAUUUCUUCUUGGUCAAAAUGUUCUCCAGUCAAGAGACCGGCUGGCCAAAGGGUCAUGCUCUCUGUGGAUUAUCUCAUUUCAAGACAAGUAUAUCCACACAGAAAGAGGAAAUGACAAGCCCUGCUAUAUUUCAGUAAGUCACACUCAUAACACUGCAAUCACCAUUUUGCCCUGGGUAUUGAAAGACAGCUGAGUUGACUGAAAAAUAGAAGCAUUUCAUUGCAAUUCUUGUUGGAAAGCUCUUAUUUUCAUCCAAACCUGACCAUCACCUUAGAUGUAGCACUAACCUGUCUAGAUUCCAUCACCGUCAUCAUAGCUGUUUGAUUUCUAUCAAUGUUUUAUGGACAUCACAAUGCCUGGCUGGCUGGUGAGUGCUGUGAUGUUGAAACCUGAAUGCCUACUGUGGAUGGAGGGGUAUAGAGACCAACUGACAGAGGCAAUGAUUCACUCCCAUAAGUCUGAUCAAUUAACCCACGGGAGAGAAUGUGCUGUGUUCACACAGUAAUCCUUAUUCAAACACUAUGUGCAAUUCAUUUAAUGUGAGAAUCAACAUUUAUUUGGCUAUAGGCUGCUCCCAAACAAGUAAAUAAAUGGUUGUUUCUUACAACCGUGGCCUUUGCUGUAAUCUAUUUCCCAAGCAGUGUAAUUAUGCUUGGUGUGAGGGAUGAAUUCCUGUUUUUAUGACAAUUGUUUCAACUUAAUCUUAACUGAAGACAACAACAACAAAUACAUUACAAGCUGUAACAUCCAACAUCACAGCUCCCCAAUG